rfam:Oscillibacter sp. CAG:241 genomic scaffold, scf107
ACACUGCGAUGAACCGGGAGAUUGCGGCCCAUGGCCGGUAACUUCCGGGGAGUAUGUCCGAUCAUCGGGCGG